AUUUCAACUCUUUUGCAUAAAUACCCAGAAGUGGGAUUUCUGGAUCAUAUAACAGGUUCUAUGUUUAAUUUUUUGAGUAACUGCCAUACCAUUUUUCCGUAGUGGCUACACCAUCUACAGUCUCCCCAACAAUACACAAGGGCUCGCAUUUCUCCACAUCCACGUCAACACUUGGGACAAAACUACCUUUUAAAACAUUCAGAGAGUGGUUUACCAGAGUGCCCCUGGCUCAAGUCCUUGCUUGGACACAUGUUAAGUGUGUGACUGCUCCAAGCCCCUGUCCCCUCCGGGAAACUCAGACUUUGAGGGUACAACCCCAGCUUCAGAAGAUUACAAGAAGUAGAUGGCUGUCUGACGACUUUGAGUGUGUGUCCCACACACACUGUACCGCUAGUGAUCCACCGGAAAAUGUAUUGAGUACUGCGAUUAUCUUGUCAAUAACAAGUAUUGUAUCAUGA